rnacentral:rRNA from 1 species
AUUGAACGCUGGCGGCAUGCUUUACACAUGCAAGUCGAACGGUAACAGGCCUUCGGGUGCUGACGAGUGGCGAACGGGUGAGUAAUGCAUCGGAACGUACCCAGAGGUGGGGGAUAACGCAGCGAAAGCUGUGCUAAUACCGCAUGUGAUCUGAGGAUGAAAGCGGGGGACCGAGCUGCAAUGUUUGGCCUCGCGCCUUUGGAGCGGCCGAUGUCGGAUUAGCUAGUUGGUGGGGUAAAGGCCUACCAAGGCGACGAUCCGUAGCUGGUCUGAGAGGACGACCAGCCACACUGGGACUGAGACACGGCCCAGACUCCUACGGGAGGCAGCAGUGGGGAAUUUUGGACAAAGGGCGCAAGCCUGAUCCAGCAAUGCCGCGUGCGGGAAGAAGGCCUUCGGGUUGUAAACCGCUUUUGGCAGGAACGAAACGGUGUCCGCUAAUACCGGGCGCUAAUGACGGUACCUGCAGAAUAAGCACCGGCUAACUACGUG